rnacentral:rRNA from 1 species
GACGAACCGUGCGAACGUUGUUCGGAAUCACUGGGCUUAAAGGGCGCGUAGGCGGCUUGUCAAGUCCGGGGUGAAAUCCUCCAGCUUAACUGGAGAAGUGCCUUGGAUACUGGCGAGCUCGAGUGAGGUAGGGGCAGUUGGAACUUCCGGUGGAGCGGUGAAAUGCGUUGAUAUCGGAAGGAACGCCGGUGGCGAAAGCGAACUGCUAGACCUCUUCUGACGCUGAGGCGCGAAAGCUAGGGGAGCGAACGGG